CUUUCCUUCGGGACAGAGGAGACAGGUGGUGCAUGGUUGUCGUCAGCUCGUGUCGUGAGAUGUUGGGUUAAGUCCCGCAACGAGCGCAACCCUUAUGCUUAGUUGCCAGCAGGUCAAGCUGGGCACUCUAAGCAGACUGCCGGUGACAAACCGGAGGAAGGUGGGGAUGACGUCAAAUCAUCAUGCCCCUUAUGACCUGGGCUACACACGUACUACAAUGGCCGGUACAACGGGAAGCGAAGCCGCGAGGUGGAGCCAAUCCUAGAAAAGCCGGUCUCAGUUCGGAUUGUAGGCUGCAACUCGCCUACAUGAAGUCGGAAUUGCUAGUAAUCGCGGAUCAGCAUGCCGCGGUGAAUACGUUCCCGGGUCUUGUACACACCGCCCGUCACACCACGAGAGUUUACAACACCCGAAGUCGGUGGGGUAACCCGCAAGGGAGCCAGCCGCCGAAGGUGGGGUAGAUGAUUGGGGUGAAGUCGUAACAAGGUAGCCGUAUCGGAAGGUGCGGCUGGAUCACCUCCUUU
rnacentral:rRNA from 1 species